GUCCCUGAGACUGCCAAUGUAGAUGUCUCGUUCAACCUGAGGGAGAGAGCGCGCGGAAGUGAAAGAAGAUAGGAAAGUGGAGUCUGGAGGUCUGAGUGACUUGCAGUCAAACAGCAACUUUAUUGCUGUAGGUGACAGCUUUUAUACCUUUUUUCCUGUUACGUUUACUUUAGCUCAGCAUUUACUUUAGCUCAGCAGAAAAGGGGGCAAACAGAAAAGGUAACAGAAAUCACAUAAAAAUAGUUAUCAGGAGCUUGUGAUAACAGCUCACAAAGCAGUUUUAAGGGGGCUUGUGAUAAUAGCUUACAAAGCGGUUUAAGAGUUAAUAUAUGUUUUUCAAGGAUACACAGUGCAAACAAACAAUGGUUCCUUUAAGGUGGCUUGUUAACUAUGUUUUCCAUCAGGAGGUAGAGCAGAGGCUCAGCUCCUGAGAAAAUAUGGGCAGGGAUCUUUGCCCCUCUCAGGCACCUCAAUUGCAGCAAGCUUAUUGCUUACACAGAGACUAAAGGGGAUAUGAAGCAGUCAGCACAAUGUCCUCAUAAACCGCAGGCCCUUACUCUGCAUUCUGUUUUUGCCUCAGUGGCUUAGCCAUUUUUACCUCAACUCGACAGCCCUUGAGAGCAGGGGGAGAGCAGAUAGGUCCAACAGCCAAGAUGGGGUGAGUCACGCUAACUGUCUCAAGCCCUUGGCGUGAACACUGCAUGUAUUUAUCAUUAUUUAGAUCUUUAUUUAUUCAUAUAGCUUUAAGUUAUUGUUUGCUGUCCUCUGAUGUCACCAUGCAGGACUUGCUUGAGCAUUUCCUACAGGACUGACCUAGUGAUAACAAACUACCUUGGCUUUUGUUUAUCUGGAGAUGUCCUGAUUUCUCCUUCACAUUUGGAGGACCAUUUUGCUAGGUGCCAACUUUUUUAGGUAAAACUCCCUGUGAAACCCUGAGAUGGAGAUUUCCCUACAGGAAGUUUAUUUAGGAAUAUACUUGGGAUCAAAACCUGAAGAGAACUGAGGAAAAGAGGACUGGGCUGAGAGAGGAACUUAAUAGUGAUACAGCCACAA
rnacentral:lncRNA from 13 species